rnacentral:rRNA from 1 species
UGCGCAGGCGGGCUUGUAAGUCAGUGGUGAAAUUCUGCCGCUUAACGGUAGAACUGCCAUUGAUACUGCGAGUCUUGAAUAUGGUUGAGGUAGGCGGAAUGUGUUGUGUAGCGGUGAAAUGCAUAGAUAUGACACAGAACGCCAAUUGCGAAGGCGGCUUACUAAGCCAUUAUUGACGCUGAGGCACGAAAGCGUGGGGAGCGAACAGGAUUAGAUACCCUGGUAGUCC